AAGUAUCAAUGACUCUCACGUGCUCCGGGGAUCUUUCAGCUACCACCCCAUUAUCAAGCCUUCCUUCUUCUAACAGGACUCGUAAUUCCUCACGCUUUGUGGCCAUAUGCUUGCUCAGAUUAGCACGUGACCAGAUUUGAGUGUAUCUCCAAGCAUGCACGAUCUCUUUCUUGUACUUGCUUUCCAAAUUGAGUACUUGUUGUCCCGCCACCUUGACCCUGUCAAUCCAUGCUUCACAUUCCUUGGUAACCCUCUUCAUCUUGUUUUUGUUGAUUUCUGCCUCUACAUCAUCCCUUCUUGCAUAGAGCAUUUUUGCUUGGUCGGUCAUCUUCUCAAAAUUGACCUUGAAACCAUCAGCAUA
rnacentral:lncRNA from 1 species